GUCGUGUUUAUUCUUUUCUUUCCCUUCGGUCUUAUCUUUACAUUGUAAACAUGCUUGCGCAUUUUUCAAAUUUACUUGGCCAAUGUACACUGCUUGCUUUUAAUAGGUAGAGAUUCUUAUUUGCAUGGUCUUUAAGAACUUGAUAAUAUUUCCAAUGUGAGAUGUGCCCAUUUUAUUAUUUUUAGAAAUCGAAGAAAAGGACGUCCAUCCCUUUUAGGGUAUCUGGGGAUUUCUAUUUUGUAUUAUUUUGUGGCAGUUAAUUCUGUCUGCUUUUGAUUUGGUUGAUGUAAUUUGUUUUUCCUUUUUUUCUGAACGUA
rnacentral:misc_RNA from 1 species